UACGUAGGGUGCGAGCGUUGUCCGGAAUUAUCGGGCGUAAAGAGCUCGUAGGCGGUCUGUCGCGUCUGCUGUGAAAACUCAGGGCUUAACCCUGAGCUUGCAGUGGGUACGGGCAGACUAGAGUGCGGUAGGGGAGACUGGAAUUCCUGGUGUAGCGGUGAAAUGCGCAGAUAUCAGGAGGAACACCGGUGGCGAAGGCGGGUCUCUGGGCCGUAACUGACGCUGAGGAGCGAAAGCAUGGGGAGCGAACAGG
rnacentral:rRNA from 1 species